AUGCCAGCAUCAUACUUCCUGUACAGCCUGCAGAACCAAGAGGCGUACUACGCAAAGAGUAAGGGUGUGAACUGGAAGCUGGGAGAGCUGGCUUGAUUCCCUUCACCGGCCAUCACUGGAGUGCGUCACUUGAUAUCAAGGAUUUCCGUUUAUCAACUACGAAGUGAUGUCCCUUAGGUUGAUACAGCUAUGGAGAUUAUAGCUUUCAAAGUGUUUGAGAGGAACCAUAUUUUAUAAAUUCAACAUUGCUGACUGCUGAAGGCACUAUCUUCAUGCUAUAUUUUGCCAUGUGGCUGAAGGUCUUGUGAAGGUGGUCUUCAGAGUAUCUGCGUAUUAUCUUUGGCGAUGGUAUCAAAGGCUGC
rnacentral:lncRNA from 1 species